rnacentral:rRNA from 1 species
GUAGUCAUAUGCUUGUCUCAAAGAUUAAGCCAUGCAUGUCUAAGUAUAAGCAAUUUAUACGGUGAAACUGCGAAUGGCUCAUUAAAUCAGUUAUCGUUUAUUUGAUAGUACCUUACUACAUGGAUACCUGUGGUAAUUCUAGAGCUAAUACAUGCCAAAAACCUCGACUUCGGAAGGGGUGUAUUUAUUAGAUAAAAAACCAAUGCCCUUCGGGGCUCCUUGGUGAAUCAUAAUAACUUAACGAAUCGCAUGGCCUUGCGCCGGCGAUGGUUCAUUCAAAUUUCUGCCCUAUCAACUUUCGAUGGUAGGAUAGUGGCCCACCAUGGUGGCAACGGGUAACGGGGAAUGA